rnacentral:rRNA from 1 species
ACUCAAAUGAAUUGACGGGGGCUCACACAAGCGGAGGAGCAUGUGGAUUAAUUCGAAGCAACGCGAAGAACCUUACCUGGGUUUGACAUGCACGGAUGCCGUCCAUGAAAGUGGAGCCGGCUGCCUUCGGGUGAAACGUGCACAGGUGCUGCAUGGCUGUCGUCAGCUCGUGCUGUGAAGUGUCGGGUUAAGUCCCUUAACGAGCGAAACCCUUAUCGUUAGUUGCCAGCGUUAAGUCGGGCACUUUAACGAGACCGCCGGUGUCAAACCGGAGGAAGGCGGGGAUGACGUCAAGUCCUCAUGGCCUUUAUGCCCAGGGCGUCACACGUGCUACAAUGGCGCGUACAGAGCGAUGCGAGAUCGCAAGGUGGAGCAAAUCGCACAAAGCGCGCCCCAGUUCGGAUUGGGGUCUGCAACUCGACCCCAUGAAGUUGGAUUCGCUAGUAAUCGCGGAUCAGCCACGCCGCGGUGAAUGUGUUCCUGAGCCUUGUACACACCGCCCGU